rnacentral:tRNA from 1 species
GUCGCCAUAGCACAACGGAUAGUGCGAGGACCUUCUAAGUCCAGGAUGCGGGUUCGAUUCCUGCUGGCGAUACCA